rnacentral:rRNA from 1 species
AGCGGAGGAAAAGAAACCAACAGGGAUUACCUCAGUAACGGCGAGUGAAGCGGUAACAGCUCAAAUUUGAAAGCUAGCUCUUUGAGGGUUCGCAUUGUAAUUUGUAGAAGAUGCUUCGGGUGUGGCCCCGGUCUAAGUUCCUUGGAACAGGACGUCAUAGAGGGUGAGAAUCCCGUAUGUGACUGGGUGCUUUCGCUCAUGUGAAGCUCUUUCGACGAGUCGAGUUGUUUGGGAAUGCAGCUCUAAAUGGGUGGUACAUUUCAUCUAAAGCUAAAUAUUGGCCAGAGACCGAUAGCGCACAAGUAGAGUGAUCGAAAGAUGAAAAGCACUUUGGAAAGAGAGUUAAACAGUACGUGAAAUUGUUGAAAGGGAAGCGCUUGCAACCAGACUUGCGCGCUGAUGAUCAUCCGGGCUUCUGCCCGGUGCACUCGUCUGCGCUCAGGCCAGCAUCGGUUUCGGUGGUGGGAUAAAGGCCUUGGGAAUGUAGCUCCUCUCGGGGAGUGUUAUAGCCCUCGGUGCAAUGCCGCCUACCGGGACCGAGGACCGCGCUUCGGCUAGGAUGCUGGCGUAAUGGUUGUAAGCGACCCGUCUUGAAACACGGACCAAGGAGUCUAACAUCUAUGCGAGUGUUUGGGUGUCAAACCCAUACGCGUAAUGAAAGUGAACGGAGGUGAGAACCCUUAAGGGUGCAUCAUCGACCGGUCCUGAUGUCUUCGGAUGGAUCUGAGUAAGAGCAUAGCUGUUGGGACCCGAAAGAUGGUGAACUAUGCGUGAAUAGGGUGAAGCCAGAGGAAACUCUGGUGGAGGCUCGCAGCGGUUCUGACGUGCAAAUCGAUCGUCAAAUUUGCGUAUAGGGGCGAAAGACUAAUCGAACCAUCUAGUAGCUGG